GAAAACCUGGAAGCAGAGUCACACAUAAUUCAGUAUGAUUCAGCCCACUGAGCCACUCUCCACAGGAAGUAUAAAUAGAGCACAGAAGCUCUGAAAUGGAUUUUAACCACAGAGCCAGAGGAAAUUCUCAAAAGAUCUAUUAUCUUGGUGAUAAGUUCCUCAAGUGGAGCUGGGUCCACAGCUGCCAUUCAAGAGGAAACUGCAGUUUAUAUCAGCAAGUUAUGUGUUUCCUAACAUGCUGCCCAUGUCAUUCUAGCCCCAGUGCCCAUUCAGCAUCAGCCACCAUCAUAAGGGUCUCCAUUGCAGCUUGGGCUUGACUCUUAUAGCUCAUGCAUUGCCUUUUCAGAGGAAGCCAACAAGGAUUAUGACUGUACCACACAUUUCUUGGCCUUCUUGUGGAAAUCUUCACAUCGUUCCAUGACUUCAUAAUCCUCACACUCUGCAUGCCUGCAAAAUCAGCCCCAUGAGGAUGAUGGGCCUCACAGCUUGUCUUUUGUUUUCACUAACCUGGAACUGCUGAGACUUUGGGAACUCUGAGAGAUGGACUGAAUGCAUUUUGCCUUAUGAGAUGAGCAUGAGCCUUUGGCAGCCAGAGGUGGAAUAGUCUGAUAUACAUAUGAAGUGCUCCCCCUAAGACUUGUAUUUAAGGCUUGAUCCACAAUACAGCAAUAUUCAGAGAUUGGCCCUAAAGAUUUGAUUAAAUCAUGGGGGCUUGGAUGUCAUCAUGGAUUUAUCCAUUGAUGGGUUUAUAAUUGAAUAUACUAUUGGAAAGUGGUGGGAAAUAGAGGAGCUGUGAGAGAGAUGGCUGAUACCUCCGUCUAUAUCCAUGAGAACAUCACGUGGCUCAACCAUCUCGCUGAUCUAACAGGACCAACCUGCGAGGCUUUUUUCUACCUCUGCCAUUUAAAAGCCUCCUCUCCGAUUCCCCGUAUCAGUAAAGAUGGAUAUCAGCAACAACAACUGAGUAGUAAAAAUAAUCUCAACGGAAACUGGAUGUAAGACAGUGGUGAGAGUGUGAAGAUGACAGGAGCGGGUACUCCAGAAACUGCAUCCUGAGAAGCCUUCUGCCAUUCGGGGGUAACUGGAUUCCUCAGAAAGGAAGCUAACUGAAAGGACAAGGUUGCCAUUUUACUUUUAGCACAGAAAUUGGCUCGAGGCUGGCGCUCUUAUCAUUAAUCCAGCCCCAGGUGCCCACCAACGUGUGCCUGGACUGCAUGGAAGAAGUUUGGGACCCUGAUGUCCAAACUCGGUCUGUAACUAAGUACUUCUACUUAGAGCGACACAAACGUGACCCUUUACCAUCAGAAUCCGUCGACUCUGU
rnacentral:lncRNA from 1 species